ensembl:lncRNA
UAUAAGUCGCGUUGGAUAGAAUCAUCUCUUGUAUGCCCUGAGAAGUGAAACGAGAAAAACAUGGACGCCCGGAACAUUGAGCAUAUCUCUUACUCUCUAUUACAUAGUCCUGAUUAUACAUGAUUGUGAUCAGUAUAUUGACGUACAAAAUGAUCCACAGGAUGACAAUUUGAACUGUUGUCCUUUUGGUACCACGGGUACAUCGUGAAUCAAGAAUGUGCGUCACCUAUUGUGAAGGCAUAAGGGAUCCAAGAUGUUUAUUUGAUGGUUUGUUUCAGCCUCAUUUGGCCCAUCCCUGCCCUGCGGAGGGCCAGGCAGUCUGCCCCUCAAAUCUCCAGCUGGGCUUCACUGACACGCCUACCUGUCAGCUGGUCUCGAACGGACUCUGUGGAACAACAGUACAUGGUGUACAGAGGGCCGGGGAGGGGGGCCGCAGAGGGACCCCUGCUGAGGCUGCUGGCCACGGACCCGCACCGUUGUCCGGGCGACGCUCCAGCAACCUGACCCAGCUGGCCGAGGACGACCUAUGAGCUCUGAGGGCUCUUUAACCUGUGGUCGUGUGGUGGACACAGAGGACUCUGGCCGACCCUGGGUGUGGUGAUACUCAGGCCCCCCUGCCCGGUGGAGAAUGAAGGAUCACGUGAUGGACGGAUCGUCGUUACUAUGAACGGACCCUUUUUGGUUAAUUCCUUUUAAAAGAGCAGCUGGUUUUCUGGUGGCUCAACGUUGCCAUUGCAGCUGUGUAUGGACCGCACGCUGUUUGAGCUGCGUUGACACUAUCAACACAUACUCUGGAUAGUGUGUGCAUCCUUUCUGUCAGUUUCAGCUUUUACUUAUUUUGAGAAUGUCUAUCUUACUUUUUGUCUUUCAAGGGGCAAGGGGUAAAUUCGGUGUGAGAUGAAAAAACUAAAUCCAUUCCUGAUUGGGGCUGUCACUGGAGCUUUAUGUGUGCAUUUUUAAGUUGGUGUGUGAGUGUACAAUUCAUGUUUGUUUGUCUGUGUGUGUGCAUGGUUUAUUAUUUUGUGUACAGGUUCGGCAGUAGCUUAAUGUGCAAACAGUCAGAUCGGUUUGGCUGUCAACGCUAUCCAAUCGAUAGAACUCAUCAUGAAAUUCUUCGUCUCGUCACACUUGGACAUUUGCUUUAUGUCGAGCCAAACUAUUAAUUUCAAGGGUUAUCAUGUCAUUCCCUCCUCAUGCUGUUAGCCUGGUGUUUGCUGUUGGUUUACAAAGGAAUGCAAAAGGCCACACUCGACCUAAAGGAAGUCUGAAGGGCUGAACUCAUUUAAGUUUCAAGGGAAGAAACUUCCUCUGCUGCCUCGGUGUGAGAGAGACGCAAUACUCAGAUAUUCUGUUUGACUAAAGACUGGCUCGGGCCUAUUUGAUCUGCACCAAAUAAAAGGAACGAGGGAGGCCCCUGGAGGUUCUCUGGGGGUGUGGCAUCCAGCCCAGAAUAUGUCUACUCAUUGAGAAACUUCAAGCAAAGAUAGUGGACGGUCAAAAGCAAGCAGCUAUGCGGAUAACAAUCGGACAAGUCACGCGAAGAGAGGUGGGAAUAAGCCGCCCGUCUGAGCACAACACCGAUCAGCCCGAGGCCUAAUUAGAGGUUCUCCGAAAAGAAAGGCAUCGGCUCAAAACCUUUAGAUGAAGUUCAAUUCGUUUCUGUGGUCAUGUCAGAUGUUGUCACUUCAAGGUUAAUAUUUGGAGAAGGUCUCUCCGAUUUUCUUUUGUUAGUUUACCCCACAGCGUAGGCCUGCUAUGCUCCCCAUUUCAACCCCACGUAUAGGCUACACAGUUCCACUUUAUUCCAACGAAUACAGUUUAACGGAUUGUUCUGAAGGAUUCUGAAGGAUAAGUUAUCACUUAAAAAUCUCGAUUUUUUUAAUCCUUUGCAUGGUCUUGUUUCUUUCGACUAGUGCCAAAAACAAAGAGCAUGCUUUUCAAAAUGCACCGCGUUCACUCCAUUGUGCUUAUUGCCAGUAACGCAUGAUCACAUGUGGGUGUUAAGGACUUGUAAUGUCCACCGGAGUAGGCUGAACCGAAAGAAGAGAUGUGCUUUGUUAUUCUAUCAUUGUCAAUGUGUCUUUGUGGCCAGUAGAGGUCCCCAUAGGGCCGUCACUGGCUCAGCUUGACCUAUAAACACACGUCAUAAUACGAUGCUCUCAUCAUUAAAAAACUCAAAUGUUCUAAUCAAUGAACGCUACUACAAUAUACCAAAUAGAAAUAUUGACAUGAAGGUUUGUCAUAUUACAGAGCCUGCGUCCCCCUCUUAUUCGUUGCAUGUUUGAUAAAGGAACAAAAACGACAGGGAACCCUUACCGUUACCACAGAACCAUACUGACUAAAGACUGAGAAUGUUGGUUGUUGCCUUCGAGGAUCGUAGUAGAAUAUGUUGUAUUGUAUCAAAUAAAAAAACUUUUUUUAAAUGAAAUUAAAUGAGUUGAUUAAUUUUAAAUGGGCUUUAUUCAUUUACAUAAAAGUUUUACAUAUACGCCUACUUAUUUUACCUGUAAGAAUUCAUAUCGACCAUUCCAUGGAGUUAAUUUAUAUUUGAUGCAACAAGCCAUUAGGCCCAGACAUACUUCAUAAACCAGAUGAUAAAGUGUUACGUUUACAAUCCCAGAAAAUAAAGUAAUCAAUCUGACAAAAGGGCCAGGUAUUUCACUUCAUUUUUAGUGCAUUACCCCAGCAAAGAAAGUUCAAACAGCCGGGAGACAAAGAGAAGGAACCCCUGGAUAGGCAGACAUCUGGUUGACUGGCCAUUGAAUAAAGGCCCAUUCUGAGUAGUAAAGCAGGCCAUCGUAACCCGGCUGUGAUAUAUGGAGGCUGUGGGAGAGAGGAGUGGUG